rnacentral:tRNA from 1 species
GCUGGGAUAGCUCAGUUGGUAGAGCAUGAGACUUUUCAUCUCAGGGUUGUGAGUUCUAGCCCCACAUUGGACA